GCGGACGUGGCGGAAUUGGCAGACGCGCCGGGUGUAGGUCCCGGUGCCCUUAGGGGCUUGGGGGUGCGACGCCCCCCGUCCGCA
rnacentral:tRNA from 1 species